UUUUAUACAAGCUUAUGGUAAAAUAUUCACUUGGAGUACCAGAAGAUGUUUUAGACUUUGGUCUUUUAAACAUUGCUGGGACUGUUAACUGUGGCAGAUUUACAAAGUCUCAAUGAAUGCACUUCAGACACUAUGGCAUCAAAGAGUAAACUAUUUUCUAGGCAAUUACUUGGUAGAGUUCUGAGUUACUGGGAAAAAGAUUCACAUACAAUAGAAAAAAAUGGCUGUUUAUUUGACAGAAUCUAAGACACCUUAGUAGUCAAGCUUUCAACCACUUUGUGGAUUAAGAAGAUAAUUGAGUGCAGAACUGUGGUGGUACACGCCUUUAAUUCCAGCACCCAGAGGCAGAGGGAGUGUUUCUGUGAAUGAACUGUUCAACCUGAGGUAUUUUCAUGACAGUGAGACUCAUCUGCUUUUGGCAACAACAAUCUACUUCAAAGAGAAAGAUGGGAAUUGAAGAUGCUCCUUAUGGAGUUG